rnacentral:rRNA from 1 species
GACGAACGCUGGCGGCGUGCUUAACACAUGCAAGUCGAACGGAAAGGCCCUGCUUUUGUGGGGUGCUCGAGUGGCGAACGGGUGAGUAACACGUGAGUAACCUGCCCUUGACUUUGGGAUAACUUCAGGAAACUGGGGCUAAUACCGGAUAGGAGCUCCUGCUGCAUGGUGGGGGUUGGAAAGUUUCGGCGGUUGGGGAUGGACUCGCGGCUUAUCAGCUUGUUGGUGGGGUAGUGGCUUACCAAGGCUUUGACGGGUAGCCGGCCUGAGAGGGUGACCGCCCACAUUGGGACUGAGAUACGGCCCAGACUCCUACGGGAGGCAGCAGUGGGGAAUAUUGCACAAUAGGCGGAAGCCUGAUGCAGCAACGCCGCGUGCGGGAUGACGGCCUUCGGGUUGUAAACCGCUUUCGCCUGUGACGAAGCGUGAGUGACGGUAAUGGGUAAAGAAGCACCGGCUAACUACGUG